GCCCGGCUACUUCAGUCGGCAGAACAUGGGAUUCUUAAUUCCAUGGUAGUAGGUUCGAGUCCACGUCGGGCG
rnacentral:tRNA from 1 species